GCAAAAACCCAUCUCUUUCUCUGUCGCUUAGCGGUUGUUAUUAGUUCAGCAGAUUCGGCAAAUUAGCGAAAGAAAUGCGGCGCUGUCUAAAUUCAGUAACACGUUAUGAUAUUACAGCUAACAAAAUAUACACAUUCUGAGACACGAACUGAAAUGAAUUGUAACUUUUUUUUUAACAUUAAAUCGUCCUUCUUUCAUUUUCUCCCCAAAAUUUUGGGGAAUGCCUCCUUUGCCGAGCCGCCGCUACUGCUUCUAUACAUUGCGAUUGACGUAUGAAUUGAUGUUGAGACAGCAGCACUUCAAAAGCAGUUUCGUUCAAUGCUGCCGGAGCUUCGUCGAGAAAUAAACAUGAAGGAGCAUUACAGCUAAUAUGACCAGACAGGUGUUGAAUUCAAGACUGAAAUCACUAGAGUUGCUGGAAAUUCUCUCAUGAAUGUGGCCAUGAGAAUCAUCAGACAGGACGUUCCUCUUCUGAAGUCCUCUCACAGAUCGGAAAACACGCCGUGAUCCUCUUCACACACAAAUAUCAAUUGAAGGAGAGAAACAAAAGAGGUCCAUCGUGUCUUUUCAAAUAAAUCUUUCCAUAUUCUAUGGCAAGAAGAAUAUUUCAUUGUUUGUGUAGACCAGGGGUGCCCAAACUCGAUCUUGGAGUGCUGGUGUCCUGCUGGUGUUUAGCUCCAACUUGCUUCAACACACUUGCUGAGAAGUUUCUAGCAUGCCAAGAGCUUGAUUAGCUGGUCCAGGUGUGUCUAAUUCGGGUUGGAGCUAAACUCUGAAGGACCCAGGCCCUCCAGGACCGAGUUUGGGCACCCUUGGUUUAGACCAAAAUUAGGGAAAUUUGGAGUGAAUAUUUAAACUCUUAUCAAUAUCUAUUUUUUUUUUUUU